GCAUGUUGCGUUCUUGUUAAAGACAUUAACAUGUCUCACUUUUAAUAUCAUGUUUUCUUAUUAUGUCUUUAACCAUUUCCUUUCUUUUUGUUGCAAGGAUCCUUCUAUCCUUUGGUCUCAUCUUGUUGGGCCUCUUGUAGAUGGGCUGCAUCUUUUCCUGCUAAGUCCAGUCCUCUUAUCCUUGGUGCGUGUCUAAGAAGCCCCUUUUAGGGUUUACGGCUUCCCCUGCUCCUGCUUAGUUGUCUCAUGGCUGGCAUAUUGAAAGCAUAUCAAGAGCUGUCAAGAUCCUUUCCUAAUGUACUCGUUGGAGUCAUUAUAUAAAUCCUGCUGUGCUCCUUCUUCAUCAUUCAGACAAAAAGGCAUCUCCUCAUCUCUUCUCGCAAGUUUUACGCGAGAACAUUAGCAGCUCUGUUGUCCUUUGUUUAGCAGUAUUUUUGUCAUUACAGUCACGUUAAUCUGUGAUGACUGAAACCGUUAGCUCAAAGGGUGAUUUUCGAUUUCUUAGUGUCGUUUCCGCUGCUGUUCGCUGCUGUUCCCUGCUGUCAACCUACCUCUGUCUUCAGUUACCCUAA
rnacentral:lncRNA from 1 species